CCGUGAUAAAGUAGCAUAAUCACUCGUCAUUUAAUUGGUGACUGGAAUGAAUGGUUACACGAAUCUUUAACUGUCUCAAGAAGAAAGUUCAAUUAAUUUGAAAAAACAGUGAAGAUGCUGUUAACAAAAUUGUAAGACGAAAAGACCCUUUCGAGCUUUACUAUAAGCUUAUAGAAAAAAUCUUUAAUAAAAAUAUAAUAAAAACAAACUGUAAGUUAGUUAGUUUGGUUGGGGCGACCACCUCUAAAACAGUAUCAGAGGAAAUCUAAAGGUAUAAUAGUAAUAUUAAUUGCCUUACUGUAUACAAACAAGUUAAUCAGUUACUAUUAUGUAGGAUAUAAUGACCCGUUGAAUUAAUUUCAAAAUUCAACGACCAUGAAAAAAGUUACCGUAGGGAUAACAGGGUAAUAUUAUCAAAGAGUUCAUAUCGAUGAUGAU
rnacentral:rRNA from 1 species